GGUGACACCACCUGCCCAUCACAGGCUGGAUGCAGGGGGUGCCACAGAAAACAGAACAGCUUUAGGUCAUUAUGCAGAGGAGGUGGCCCCAAAACAGAUUUAUCUCCUAGAUAUCAUGAUGGGUGCCCUCAGCAGCGGUGUCCUGGCCUGACAGAGGCCAAGGAGGGGUCAAAGGGGCCAGGCAGAGAAGAGAGGGUCUCUCAGUGAAAGGAGGGGUUUGGGCAGUGCCCUGUUCAGAGCCAGCAGAGCUCAAGCAUCUACCACACACCCUCCAAUGCUCCCAUUGCAGGAGGAGUUUGUUUACGAGGACAUGGAGGCCCUCUGCAGUGUCCUGCGCACUCUGGCCACUGACAGUAACAAGUACCGUGCCAAGGCUGAUCGUCGGCGCCAGCGCUCUACUUUCCGCGCCGUGCUGCACUCCGUGGAGGGCGGUGAAUGCGAAGAAGAGAUAGUGCGCUUCGGCUUUGAGGUGCUCUACAUGGACAGCUGGGCUCGGCACCGGAUCUACACUGCCUUCAAGGAAGUGCUGGGUUCGGGCAUGCACCACCACCUCCAGGUGCGGGGACGGACAGGGAGGGGACAUCUGGUGUGGUUGCUUCAGUCUGGCCUGAGCUCACUGCCCUCUGC
rnacentral:sRNA from 1 species